GAUGAACGCUGGCGGCGUGCCUAAUACAUGCAAGUCGAGCGAACGGACGAGAAGCUUGCUUCUCUGAUGUUAGCGGCGGACGGGUGAGUAACACGUGGAUAACCUACCUAUAAGACUGGGAUAACUUCGGGAAACCGGAGCUAAUACCGGAUAAUAUUUUGAACCGCAUGGUUCAAAAGUGAAAGACGGUCUUGCUGUCACUUAUAGAUGGAUCCGCGCUGCAUUAGCUAGUUGGUAAGGUAACGGCUUACCAAGGCAACGAUGCAUAGCCGACCUGAGAGGGGGAUAGGCCACACUGGAACUGAAACACGGUCCAGACUCCUACGGGAGGCAGCAGUAGGGAAUCUUCCGCAAUGGGCGAAAGCCUGACGGAGCAACGCCGCGUGAGUGAUGAAGGUCUUCGGAUCGUAAAACUCUGUUAUUAGGGAAGAAUAUAUGUGUAAGUAACUGUGCACAUCUUGACGGUACCUAAUCAGAAAGCAACGGCUAACUACGUG
rnacentral:rRNA from 1 species